CGCCCCGCAAGGGGAAGUGGCAGACGGGUGAGUAACGCGUGGCAACAUACCCUUUCCUGCGGAAUACCUCCGGGAAACUGGAAUUAAUACCGCAAACCCCCUACGGGGGAAAGAUUUAUCGGGGAAGGAUUGGCCCGCGUUGGAUUACCUAGUUGGGGGGGUAAAGGCCUACCAAGGCGACAAUCCAUAGCUGGUCUGAGAGGAUGAUCACCCACAUUGGGACUGAAACACGGCCCAAACUCCUACGGGAGGCAGCGGGGGGGAAUAUUGAACAAUGGGCGCAAGCCUGAUCCAGCCAUGCCGCGUGAGUGAUGAAGGCCUUAGGGUUGUAAAGCUCUUUCACCGAUGAAAAUAAUGACGGUAGUCGAAAAAAAACCCCCGGCUAACUUCGUGCCAGCAGCCGCGGUAAUACGAGGGGGGCUAGCGUUGUUCGAAAUUACGGGGCGUAAGGCCCACGUAGGCGGAUAUUUAAGUCAGGGGUGAAACCCCGCACCUCAACUGCGAAACUGCCUUUAAUACGGGGUAUCUGGAUUAGGAAAAAGUUAAGUGAUAUUCCAGGUGGAAGGGGUAAACUUCGAAAAUAUUCGAAGGAACACCAGUGGCCAAAGGCGGUUUAUGGUUCCUUUACUGACAAUAAGGUGCCAAAGCGGGGGGGAACAAACAGGAUUAAAUACCCCUGGUUUUCCCCCCCCGAAAACGAUGAAUGGUUAGCCCGUCGGGGAUAUAUUGUUCCGGUGGCCCCACUAACGUUUUAAAAAAUUCCCCCCGGAGAAUACGGUCCCCAUAAUAAA
rnacentral:rRNA from 1 species